GACGAACGCUGGCGGCGUGCUUAACACAUGCAAGUCGAACGGCAAGGCCCUGCUUGCUGGGUCCUCGGGUGGCGAACGGGCGAGUAACUCGGGGGUGAACUGCCCUGCACUUCUGGGUAAGGCUGGGCAACUGGGACCAAUCCCGGAUACGAGCUACUUCCAGCGUGAUGGUUGGAAAGAUUUUUCGGUGUUGGAUGAGUUCGCGGGCUAUCAGCUUGUUGGCGGGGUAAUGGCCUACCGAGGCGGCGACGGGUAGCCGGACUGAGAGGGUGGACGGCGACAUUGGGACUGAGAGACGGCCCAGGCGCCGACGGGAGGCAGCAGGGGGGAAGAUUGCACAAGGGGCGCAAGCCGGAUGCAGCGACGCCGCGUGUGGGAUGGCGGCCUUCGGGUUGUAGAAACGUUGCGCUAGGAACGAAGCUUGUUGUGACGGUACCUAGAGAAGAAGCACCGGCUAACUACGUG
rnacentral:rRNA from 1 species